rnacentral:rRNA from 1 species
CGGCGCCGCGUGAGGGAUGAAGGCCUUUGGGUUGUAAACCUCUUUUAUCAGGGAAGAAUAAUGACGGUACCUGAGGAAUAAGUCUCGGCUAACUACGUGCCAGCAGCCGCGGUAAUACGUAGGAGGCUAGCGUUAUCCGGAUUUACUGGGCGUAAAGAGGGCGUAGGCGGUCUUACAAGUCGGAUGUAAAAUCUCCCGGCUUAACCGGGAGGGAUCAUUCGAUACUGUUGGGCUAGAGGGCAGCAGAGGGAGGUGGAAUUCCCGGUGUAGUGGUGAAAUGCGUAGAUAUCGGGAGGAACACCAGUGGCGAAGGCGGCCUCCUGGGCUGUUACUGACGCUGAGGCCCGAAAGCGUGGGGAGCGAACAGGAUUAGAUACCCUGGUAGUCCACGCUGUAAACGAUGGACACUAGGUAUGGGGAGUAUCGACCCUCUCCGUGCCGAAGCUAACGCGUUAAGUGUCCCGCCUGGGGACUACGGCCCGCAAGGC